rnacentral:lncRNA from 1 species
GGCAGAGUGGCUGGAAGACUGUGUAGAGGAAAUGGACCUGGGAGUGUUGAUCGACGCUAGACUGAACAUGAGCCAGCAGUGUGCCCAGGUGGCCAAGAAGGCCAAUGGCAUCCCAGCUUGUAUCAGAAAUAGUGUGGCCAGCAGGAACAGGGAAGUAAUUAUCCCCCUGUACUCAGCACUGGUGAGGCCGCACCUCGAGUACUGUGUCCAGUUUUGGGCCCCUCACUGUAAGAAAGACAUUGAGGCCCUGGAGUGUGUCCAGAGGAGGGCAACAAAGCUGGUGAGGGGUCUGGAGCACAGGCCUUAUGAAGAGUGGCUGAAGGAGCUGGGAUUGUUCAGUCUAGAGAAGAGGAGGCUCAGGGGAGACCUGAUUGCUCUCUAUAACUACCUGAAGGGAGGCUGUAGUGAGCUGGGGGUCGGCCUCUUCUCUCGGUUGACUUGUGAUAGGGCUAGAGGGAAUGGCUUCAAGCUGCGCCAGGGAAAGUUCAGGCUGGACGUUAGGAAAUACUACUUCUCUGAAAGGGUGGUCAGGCACUGGAAUGGGCUGCCCAGAGAGGUAGUGGAGUCACCGAGCCUGGUGGUGUUUAAAGAGCAUUUGGAUGUUGUGUUGAGGGACAUGGUUUAGCGAGAACCAUUGAUGAAGGGUGGAUGGUUGAACUGGAUGAUCCUGUGGGUCUUUUCCAACCUUAGCGAUUCUAUGAUUCUAUGAUUCUAUGAUUCUGAGAAACUGUCUGUAGAAGAUGCUACGGAGAUGGAUGUUCUAGAACAGUGAGAAAUGAAUGAAGAAAGAGGUAUGUGCUCUGAGAACUGUGCUAGCUUAUUUAGAGCCAGAUCACACUUAAGCGCAUUGUUGACUACAAUAGUGUACUUGCCUAUCUUGAGGCAUUAGUAUUCUGUAUUUUGCUGUCAGACAACUGUCAACAUCUGUAUAAGAGAAAUCCUUCAGAAGAAAGAUGCAAAUGGAAAAUACAUCAAAUGUGAUACCCAAAAACUAAAUCAAACAACACUGUAUACUCAUGGAAUUAUUAAAAAUUAAAGUUGCAAUAUUUCUAUUGUUCCUCUCAUUCUCCACACUUGUCCAUUUCUAAUCUAUCUGCUACAUUUUAUCAGUUAUCUUCCAAGACUUUAUAAAGUGGUCAUUU